rnacentral:rRNA from 1 species
AAUCUUACUCUUUUUUAAAGUCUUUAUAUCGCUGUCUUAAAAUUCUAAUUUGAUUUUGAAUUUUCAAAGAUAAUUCUUCUACGUCAAGUCGAGAUAAAACCUAUAAAAGAGAGACCCGAGUUACUUAUACUUUUAUUUAUUAAUAUUAUUUUUUACAAUCUUAUUUUUAGAAUUUAAUAGUAAAAUUUUAAUAGUAUUUGAAUUUGAAAAAGCUUUCAAGGUGUACAUAUCGCCCGUCACCCUCGUCUAAAGAUGAGGUAAGUCGUAACACAGUUAAUGUACUGGAAAGUGCAUUAAGGG